GUGGGGAAUAUUGGACAAUGGGGGGAACCCUGAUCCAGCCAUGCCGCGUGUGUGAAGAAGGCCUUUUGGUUGUAAAGCACUUUAAGCGAGGAGGAGGCUACCGAGAUUAAUACUCUUGGAUAGUGGACGUUACUCGCAGAAUAAGCACCGGCUAACUCUGUGCCAGCAGCCGCGGUAAUACAGAGGGUGCAAGCGUUAAUCGGAUUUACUGGGCGUAAAGCGCGCGUAGGUGGCCACUUAAGUCAAAUGUGAAAUCCCCGAGCUUAACUUGGGAAUUGCAUUCGAUACUGGUUGGCUAGAGUAUGGGAGAGGAUGGUAGAAUUCCAGGUGUAGCGGUGAAAUGCGUAGAGAUCUGGAGGAAUACCGAUGGCGAAGGCAGCCAUCUGGCCUAAUACUGACACUGAGGUGCGAAAGCAUGGGGAGCAAACAGGAUUAGAAACCCGUGUAGUCC
rnacentral:rRNA from 1 species